GGGGGAAUUUUGGACAAUGGGGGCAACCCUGAUCCAGCCAUGCCGCGUGAGUGAAGAAGGCCUUCGGGUUGUAAAGCUCUUUCGGCCGGGAAGAAAUCGUGGUCUCUAACAUAGGCCAUGGAUGACGGUACCGGACUAAGAAGCACCGGCUAACUACGUGCCAGCAGCCGCGGUAAUACGUAGGGUGCGAGCGUUAAUCGGAAUUACUGGGCGUAGAGCGUGCGUAGGCGGUUUGUUAAGUCAGAUGUGAAAGCCCCGGGCUCAACCUGGGAACUGCAUUUGAUACUGGCAGGCUAGAGUACGGUAGAGGGUGGUGGAAUUCCCGGUGUAGCGGUGAAAUGCGUAGAGAUCGGGAGGAACAUCCGUGGCGAAGGCGGCCACCUGGACCAGUACUGACGCUGAGGCACGAAAGCGUGGGGAGCAAACAGGAUUAGAUACCCUGGUAGUCCACGCCCUAAACGAUGUCGACUAGUCGUUCGGAGCAGCAAUGCACUGAGUGACGCAGCUAACGCGUGAAGUCGACCGCCUGGGGAGUACGGCCGCAAGGUUA
rnacentral:rRNA from 1 species